rnacentral:rRNA from 1 species
GACGAACGCUGGCGGCGUGCUUAACACAUGCAAGUCGAACGGACAGGCCCGGCUCUUGCGGCGUGCUCGAGUGCCGAACGGGUGAGUAACACGUGAGUAACCUGCCCUUGUCUUUGGGAUAACUUCAGGAAACUCGGGCUAAUACCGGAUAGGAGCUCCUGCUGCACGGUGGUGGUUGGAAAGUUUCGGCGGUUGGGGAUGGACUCGCGGCUUAUCAGCUUGUUGGUGGGGUAGUGGCUUACCAGGGCUUUGACGGGUAGCCGGCCUGAGAGGGUGACCGGCCACCUUGGGACUACGAUACGGCCCAGACUCGUACGGGAGGCAGCAGUGGGGAAUAUUGCACAAUGGGCGGAAGCCUGAUGCAGCAACGCCGCGUUCGGGAUGACGGCCUUUGGGUUGUAAACCGCUUUCGCCUGUGACGAAGCGUGAGUGACGGUAAUGGGUAAAGAAGCACCGGCUAACUACGUG